GACCACGUCUUCUAUGUCUGCCCACCUGUCAUUUAUACGCCUUCCAAUGGUAGAGUUCGAAAGUGGUACCUUUGUGAUCUCUUUAGCUGCUUGUGGGCCUAUCAUUUUGUUUGCAGUAGCAGUUCAAGCUCGCUCUAUUAUUGAUUCGGCAAUGGUGUGAGGCUUUUUAGCCUUAGCAAUUAUUUCGGCUACCAGGUAGCUGGCCUUCAGUGCAUUUGUUUGCUUUUCAAGCAAACAAACUAUUACUUUGGUUGGCAUGUGAUGGGUGAUUUGUUGUCAUAUCUUUUCAACUUUCUGGGUACCAUAACAUGGUUGGACAAUUUCAUACAACAUAUCGGGCACAGGGGGAGAGGACAUGACAGCUCUCCAUUGAAGAUAAAUCCAAACGUGAGGUAAUUGUCAUCAUACUGUCGUUUCUUCAUCUUGCUGGAGGUGUCUACCUCCUUCACUGACUGACGAUGACGAUGUUGAGGGCUCAGAUUCAGAGAUCAGAGUGUGGAGCUUUUCUUUUCCAAACCUGUCCAUGUUGCUGGCUAAUUAACCGCUGCACAACGCUAUGACAACUCAUCCGAUAUCGCGCGCUGUAAAUAAUGCUACCUUCAAGGGUUAGGUUCGGAAGCUCUUGCGAGCUCUUGCGUUUUCUCUGAUGUAUGCCUUGAUUAACUUACCCUAGCUGUAUGCUAUCGCUAAAAGAAAAAUUCCAAAAUGAUGCAUUCAUUUAUUUCAAAUUGACUAUAUUAAACUAGUGUCAGCCACGUUUCUGCGGCACCCCUAAGUAUGUCAGACGGCACCACUGUUGAGAAACACUGGUCAAGAAUGUAAAAUACUGUCCACUGACAGCAAACACUGUAUCAUAAUUAGGCCUGGUGACUUAUUAUGAUGUUACUUAUGACGUUCUGACAAAAGCAUGUCUUUUAUGCAUUUGUCUGAUAUGUAAUCUGUAGGGCUGGCCCGAAUUAUUCGAAUAUUCGAAUACUCGUUCGGAAAAUGAGUAUUCGAAGCUUAAAUCAGUAUUCAGAGCUUCGUUUUUUUAUUUUUUUCACGUACGUGACGUUACCAGAGCGAGGGAGGCAAACUAUAAGCGUCAGCGACACCAAGCAGAGAAGCGAGAGAGGUGGAGGAAGAAUAGAUAUCUUGUUUCCCUUUACUUCAUAACACAACAAUAGCGGGAUCUCUGGAGGAAAAGUAAUACUUAAAAACCUUAGCUUAGUUGUUUGUUUACGUUCGCUGUACAGCGCCGCGCCAAUCAACUGUGACUGGCUUGCUGCAGAGCGUGAGCGUCUUGGGAAUAACCGGUCAAUAUAAUGGAUAUAAUAUGGACACAUAAGACAAUCAAUAUUCGGUAUUUGUUAUGGAUUUAUUGUACAAAUUCCCUAAAAAGAUACACGUUCCAGGAUGAAUUGAAAAGCUCCCGUAAGGGCUGAGAUGGCAGAGAACAGCGGAUUUGGAACGGAGCAACAGCUGUUUGCUUUCACGGGGAAUACCUAAGAAACUUCAACCUACUUAGGCCUACUAAUUAACGUUCAAAAGCUAUUAAA